GCUGAAUCCCAGAGGGAUAAAGGCCAAGAGGAGCCCAAUCAACAGCACCACCAGGAAGAAAAAGUUGGAACUUGAUGCCCUUAUAGGCCUUGCUGCAGGUUUGCGUGUGUGUAUCAAAACAAUCUGAAGAGGGAAGCACUCCAAAGGCUACUGUGGCACUGCAUCCUAAGGCAAAAGACUGCUCAUUUCCACACAAACAGCUCUAGAAAACAGUGUGUUCCCUUCAAGCAGGAAUACAAUCUAAACUGUGCAACAAGUAACAGUAAAUAAACAACACCAACAUCUUUACCUCUUUAUUAUCCAGAGGAAACUUAAGGCAAGGUAAAACUGCCAAUAACAGAAGCAACUUUCCAGAGGAGACAUGGACACCAGACAAGAAAUACCUUCUAUGCUGUGAAUAUCAUGUCGCCAAAGCACCAGUUGAGAAAGCUUUUAUGACACUUGGAAAUGUUUCAAUGAAUUUUAUGGAUCACAGCAAUCCCAGGUGGAAAAACAGGAAGACAGACAUGCUGAGGAGGAGAGAAUGGAUGAUUCUACCAGAGCACAACAGUCACAUGCAGGGAAUGCAGCCAAAAGAAAGCAUGUUUAAGUUAUUGGGAGAAGGGGAGUGAACGUCUCGGAGCUCAAACAGAAACAUAACAACGUGUUGUACGUCAGAACUGUGCUAGUAAGCAGUAUCUUCCAAUAGACCUGCUGUUGUUGGCUGCCUUUCCACUCAAAGCAGAAAAUUAAUUCUAACCAGGUCUGUAAUCAGUCUUCCUAUUAACAUAUUAAUGAAGCAGUAGAGACAAAAAUAAGGAAUAUUUCACCCUUCAAACCAAGGACUUGUCAUGUCUUAUCAUAACAAUGAAGGCUUUGAAAAUCCAGACUACCACUUCUCAGAGACAUUGGAAAUUGAUAGACGGGGGAGUUCUCAAAGGAAUCCAUUCUCUCACCAAACUCCUUAUGAUUCAUCUCUGUAUGAUUACUAUGGAGAGCACAGAGGGAGGGAGCACAACUACCCUGUGGCCAUCCCAAUGGCUUCCCUGGGAGCUGGCUCUGACUACAGCCAGGAUUUACCCAGCACAAGUGCAUAUGGAAAUUUCACAGAAAAUCUUUCCUUUGAGCCUGAACCACAAUUGACUUACACCCCACAUGCUACCUCCCAUGUGCUGGAUUAUCCCUACACUCAUGGAAUUUCCAGUGGAUCAGAAGACAGCUUCAUUCGGAGACGCAACCGAAGACCCCCCGAUGAGAUCUUCAUGACUUCUUCCAGCAUGUUUGAAACAGAUCCCGUGUGCAGGGAAGAGGAAGAUUUAGUUAGAAGUCUUGCAAGUAUGUCCAGCAAAGAAAGGAUUAAAGCAAUCCAGAAGAUGCCAGAGACCAUGAGAAAAAAGAGAGAGAUCAGAAACAAAGUUCUUAAAGAAAUAACCAAAAAAUCAAGGCAUCGUGGUGCGCAGUGUACACAGUGUCUGCAGGGAGCAGCUGUGUCAUUUCGGCGAUUUGGAAAUACCCUUUCAGAAUAUUUUCACCAACUGCGGCCAUGGCACAAGACCCUGAAGAUCAUUGGUGCUGAGUUUGGAACAAGUGUUCUUUCUUACUUUGUUUUCUUGAAGUGGCUGCUAAAUUUGAACAUAAUCUCAUUCCUCAUAAACUUUGGUUUCAUCACAAUUCCUCAGUUUCUUGCAGCAGAACCAAAUAACCUUUCAUUCACGGGCUUGGAGCUGUUCACUGGAGCUGGUUAUUUUCAACAAACAGUGCUCUACUAUGGCUUUUACACCAAUGCUACAAUCAGUAAAGUGGAGAAUGGUCCAUCUUACAACAUGCAGCUGGCCUAUAUUUUCACUGUUGGAAUAUAUUUUGUCAUCUGUUUUCUUUUCUUGUUGUUCAGCAUGGCAAAAUUCUUCUCCAGAAACUUCGUUAACCCUCAGACAUUCUCUGUGAAUGCCAGCAAGCUGCUCUGCACUUGGGACUUUAAUAUAACUAAUGAGAAAGCUGUGAAGCUGCAACAAAAGAAUCUUCACACACAAAUAAAGGAAGGUCUCACUGAAGUGAACAAAGAAGUUCUAAAUUUUUCUGUGAUGGAGAGAGUUGUUCGUAUUGCUUUUCAUCUUCUUGCUUGGGUUGUUUCCCUGGGAACAGCAGUAGCUGCUUGUACUGGUGUUUACUUCCUCUCCAUUAAUAACCUCAAGCUGUUUAUGAAAGGGUAUAGCAAUGAUCUACAGAGACAAUCUGCCAUGUUGGUGCUACCUGUGAUUGUAUCUCUCCUCAACACAUUGAUCCCAUUCUUCUUCUCCUGGCUUGGGCACCUGGAGAAGUUUCAGACUCCUGGACAGCACAUAUAUGUCACUAUUACCAGAAAUAUCAUCCUGAAAAUGUCAAUUGUUGGAAUACUGUGCUACUACUGGCUUAACAUCGUGUCUACCUCAGAGUCACAGUGCUGGGAAACUUUGGUUGGCCAAGAUAUCUAUCGUCUUGUUCUAGUUGACUUCAUAUUUUGUUUGCUUGGCUCUUUCUUUGGAGAGUUUCUACGAAGAAUUAUUGGAACUACAGUCUGCAUGAACCUGGGGCUGCCAGAAUUUGAUAUUGGACGAAAUGUUUUAGAUUUGAUCUAUGCACAGACUUUGACCUGGAUUGGUAUCCUGUUCUCACCUCUGUUGCCUGGAAUCCAGAUGAUAGCAUUUUUUAUAGUAUUUUUUGUGAAAAAGGUCAGUCUGAUGAGGAAUUGCCAGCCCCCUGGCAAAGUCUGGAGAACUGCUCAAAUGAUGACAUCCUUCAUUUUCCUGCUGUUUUGUCCUUCCUUCCUUGGAGUCCUGUCAGUCAUUGGAGUCACUGUCUGGAGGUUAAAACCUUCAGAGAAAUGUGGUCCUUUCAGAGGUUUGCCUUCCAUGUAUGCUGCAGUUGCUGAGUGGAUACAAGUACUGGAAAGUUACACUGCCUCCAAAUGGGUAGUGUGGAUCUACCACAAUUUAAUUUCAAGUGAACUUUUCUUCUUCAUCAUCUCUACUUUUGUACUAAUUGUUAUUUAUCUUUACUGGCAAAUAAUACAAGGAAGAAAGACCAUGACCGAACUCUUACGUAAGCAAAUUAAUAAUGCAGGAAAAGAUAAGAUGUUUCUACUGAAAAAGCUACGAGCACUGCAAAGGGCAAAGAGAAGAUCAUCUGCCCUGGGAGGAAGAGGCCAGCAGAGAAGCUCCUCUUCAUAUCACCCAUCCAUGCAACCUGCCCAGGAGGUGCCAGACUACCCAGAAAGGGCAUUUGACAGAAACCAAAACACAUCCUACAAUGAGCAUCCCUUUUCUGUUGAGAUCUCAAGCAGCAGUGACUUUCCACCAGGUAAGCAACUAAGAUGAAACACAGAAAGCUCUUAAAAAUUCAGCUCAGUAAAAAUGUUUGAUGGACAGACACAGUGUGUAACAGCUGCAUGUCAGGGACACAGCAUUUGAGCAUCUUGUGUAGAGAGAAAACAAAAUGACUGGGCUUGUGGGGUGAAUUUUUUGUACAGGUUGUGCUUUUUGGUAGCUUGUUCUGGUGUUGGUAGUGACUUCUAAAGACCAACCACCAGCUUCUGUGUACUAGACAGUGAAAUUCCUGGGUAAAUGAGCCAUUUUGUCUUAUGGGAGCACCCAAUAGGUAGGCAAGAACUUUAAAUCCCUUUAGAAACAUCUUGGUGUGAAACUCAGAAGAGGUUACUGAUGCUCAGAAGAAGUUACUAAUGCUGUAGAGAUUACUAAUGCUGUAGAGGUUACUAGUGCUCAGUUACUAAUGCUCAGAAGAGGUUACUAAUGCUGUAGAGGUUACUGAUGCUGUAGAGGUUACUAGUGCUCAGUUACUAAUGCUCAGAAGAGGUUACUAAUGCUGUAGAGGUCACUGAUGCUGUAGAGGUCACUGAUGCUGUAGAGGUUACUGAUGCUGUAGAGGUUACUGAUGAUGUAGAGGUUACUGAUGCUGUAGAGGUCACUGAUGCUGUAGAGGUUACUGAUGCUGUAGAGGUCACUGAUGCUGUAGAGGUUACUGAUGCUGUAGAGGUUACUGAUGCUGAGUCCCUAGAACAUCAUCCUGCUCGGAGUAAAGCAAGGCUACGGGAUCUUGCGUGGUAUCUGAGCUUCCACGUAACUUCAUUGCAAAACCUGGCAGAGGAGCUCCCUACGGAGCAGGGGGUGCUCUGGCUGUCCCCAGCAGC